GGUGGUUGGUACACACACGGCCGCGUCCUGUCGCCAUUAAAACAGAGGAGGCUGGGGCGAGCACGGAGCGGCGUGGAACGGCCGGGGUGACGUCGCAGCGUCUCAGCCAAAACCAAUGAUCAUGGUGAGCCCCGACGAGGUAGAGGCCGAUACUUAUGAUGAGUCCGGUCCUUACGAUGAAUAUGCUGAAGUGGAGUAUGAGUAUGAGGAUGCCGCUGGCGAAGAUGAUGUUGCGUAGACCAUCAGGAGGGUAGUUCAAGAUGGCCUAAUAAUGUCUAGACUACAGGCACCCCUUGCCGUAGUGAGACUUGGAGACAUUUUGAGUGUCCUUGUAAUAAGACACCAUCUGCGAACGGUGAAGGUUUCUAUUGUACAUGCUACUGUUUUCCUCAAGUU